UCUGGCGGCGUGCUUAACACAUGCAAGUCGAACGAUGAAGUUCCUUCGGGGAUGGAUUAGUGGCGAACGGGUGAGGAACACGUGAAGAAUCUGCCCUCCACUUUGGGAUAACUCCGGGAAACCGGGGCUAAUACCGAAUAUUGAAACAUAAGUGGCAUCACUGAGUUUUGAAAGAAUUUCGGUGGAGGAUGACCUCGCGGCCUAUCAGCUUGUUGGUGAGGUAAUGGCUCACCAAGGCGACGACGGGUAGCCGGCCUGAGAGGGCGACCGGCCACACUGGGACUGAGACACGGCCCAGACUCCUACGGGAGGCAGCAGUGGGGAAUAUUGGGCAAUGGACGAAAGUCUGACCCAGCGACGCCGCGUGCGGGAUGAAGGCCUUCGGGUUGUAAACCGCUUUCAGCAGGGAAGAAGCGAAAGUGACGGUACCUGCAAAAGAAGCACCGGCUAACUAUGUG
rnacentral:rRNA from 1 species